GACGAACGCUGGCGGCGUGCCUAACACAUGCAAGUCGAGCGGAGACAGUGAGUAGCUUGCUAUGAGCUGUUUUAGCGGCGGACGGGUGAGUAACGCGUGAGCAACCUUUCCCAGACAGGGGAAUAACACACCGAAAGGUGUACUAAUACCGCAUAAGACCACGGUUUCACAUGGAACUGAGGUAAAAGAUUUAUCGGUUUGGGGUGGGCUCGCGUCCGAUUAGGUAGUUGGUGAGGUAACGGCCCACCAAGCCGACGAUCGGUAGCCGACCUGGGAGGGUGAUCGGCCACAUUGGGACUGAGACACGGCCCAAACUCCUACGGGAGGCAGCAGUGGGGAAUAUUGGGCAAUGGAGGAAACUCUGACCCAGCAACGCCGCGUGGAGGAAGAAGGUUUUCGGAUCGUAAACUCCUGUCCU
rnacentral:rRNA from 1 species